UCCAUGCUUAGGAACCACUACAAAUG
rnacentral:piRNA from 1 species